rnacentral:rRNA from 1 species
CCUACGGGCGGCAGCAGUGAGGAAUAUUGGUCAAUGGACGAGAGUCUGAACCAGCCAAGUAGCGUGAAGGAUGACUGCCCUAUGGGUUGUAAACUUCUUUUAUAUGGGAAUAAAAUGUUCCACGUGUGGGAUUUUGUAUGUACCAUAUGAAUAAGGAUCGGCUAACUCCGUGCCAGCAGCCGCGGUAAUACGGAGGAUCCGAGCGUUAUCCGGAUUUAUUGGGUUUAAAGGGAGCGUAGGUGGAUUGUUAAGUCAGUUGUGAAAGUUUGCGGUUCAACCGUAAAAUUGCAGUUGAAACUGGCAGUCUUGAGUACAGUAGAGGUGGGCGGAAUUCGUGGUGUAGCGGUGAAAUGCUUAGAUAUCACGAAGAACUCCGAUUGCGAAGGCAGUUCACUGGACUGCAACUGACACUGAGGCGCGAAAGUGUGGGUAUCAAACAGGAUUAGAUACCCGAGUAGUC